GGUAGGAAGAAGAUUCUAAGGCCAACGGGAGAAGGGUUGUUAAGGAACUCGGCAAAUUGACCCCGUAACUUCGGGAGAAGGGGUGCUCCAGAGAUGGAGCCGCAGAGAAUCGGCCCAAGCAACUGUUUACCAAAAACACAGGUUUGUGCUAAAUCGAAAGAUGACGUAUACGAGCUGACGCCUGCCCGGUGCUGGAAGGUUAAGAGGAGAUGUGCAAGCAUUGAAUCGAAGCCCCAGUGAACGGCGGCCGUAACUAUAACGGUCCUAAGGUAGCGAAAUUCCUUGUCAGGUAAGUUCUGACCCGCAUGAAAGGCGUAAUGAUUUGGGCACUGUCUCGACAGCCCGCCCGGCGAAAUUGUAGUACCGGUGAAGAUGCCGGUUACCCGCGACAAGACGGAAAGACCCCAUGGAGCUUUACUGUAGCCUAAUAUUGGGUUUCGAUGUUGCAUGCACAGGAUAGAUGGGACACAGGGAAACAAGUGCUUUGGCAUUUGUGGAGUGGCCGUUGGGAUACCAUCCUUGCGAUAUUGGAAUUCUAACCUGCGCCUUUGAAUCAAGGCGGGGGACAUUGUUAGGUGGGCAGUUUGACUGGGGCGGUCGCCUCCUAAAGAGUAACGGAGGCGUUCAAAGGUUCGCUCAGCUUGAACGGAAAUCAAGCAAAAGAGUGCAAACGCAGAAGCGAGCCUAACUGCGAGACUGACGGGUCGAGCAGUAACGAAAGUUGGAGUUAGUGAUCCGGUGGUAUGUGAGUGGAAAUGCCAUCGCUCAACGGAUAAAAGCUACCCUGGGGAUAACAGGCUGAUCUCCCCCAAGAGUCCACAUCGACGGGGAGGUUUGGCACCUCGAUGUCGGCUCAUCGCAUCCUGGGGCUGAAGUAGGUCCCAAGGGUUGGGCUGUUCGCCCAUUAAAGCGGUACGCGAGCUGGGUUCAGAACGUCGUGAGACAGUUCGGUCCCUAUCUGUCGUGGGCGCAGGAUAUUUGAUGGGAGCUGUUCCUAGUACGAGAGGACCGGAGCGGACGUACCUCUGGCGCACCAGUUGUUCUGCCAAGGGCAUAGCUGGGCAACUAUGUACGGAUCGGAUAAACGCUGAAAGCAUCUAAGCGUGAAGCCGACCCAAAGAUAAGAUAUCCCAUUGUUUCAAACAAGUAAGACCCCUUGAAGACUACAAGGUUGAUAGGCACGAUGUGUAAGUGGAGUGAUCCAUUCAGCAAGCGUGUACUAAUAGGUCGAGGGCUUGACCAC
rnacentral:rRNA from 1 species